CGUGUCGACAUUGCACAGUACUCGCUACCCCGUGCCAAGGCCAGAAUUGAGAUGGCCAAGCGCUGCCACGAGGAUUCCGAUGAAGACCUAGAGGCGGAGGCCGAACUCGUCGUGAAGCAAGCUGGGAAGUUUGUCCUGGAGUAUAGCGAGAUUGGAGAUGAUCGCCCUCUCAUCGGCUAUUCCUUCUCUUGUGAUGCAUCAAUGCUGGCCACAAGGUACUUUCUCUUAAUCAUACGGAAUUACAUAUGCUUUGUUCAUGUAUGUCUCAAACAAAUGCUAUGAUGAAAGGAUGUUGAGAACCGUUACCUAUUAAUUGUAUUAUUAUGUGGCGGUUGUGGCUGUGGGCUUUUGUCACUAGCUGCGCCGCGGGUUUUGCUUUGGAUUGCACUGAGCGACAAUAAAAGUGGAGUGAUCUGACGUGCUGUUUGAUGGAAUUGUUCCCUCAUCUGAUGCUUUUAUGUUUUCUUUACGUAAUAUUCUUCUCAUUUUAAUUUCUAUACAUAUUUUUAUAUCAUUUUUUACUCCUUUUCCUCCACUGUACAUGAAGAUUUCUGAUUUUUUUUUAUGUGACAUGAUUUUUUUUCUAUUACUUCUCAAGGUGAUUUUCGAUAUUAGUUUGGUAGUUUUGUUUGUUUUGGUGGGGUUAUAUUUAUUUGAUUCAAGGUUGGACUAAACUCAUUUAAAUUUUACAAAAAGUGUACAAUUAUCAAAUAAUAAAUUCUAUACCCUGUUGCAACGCACGGGCACGUUUUGCUAGUAUCUAUUAAAAAUUGGCAACGAUCUGUUGUGGCAAGCACUCAUCAUAUCUCAUGUACGACAGUAGGAGACAACAAGACCACGCCGUCCUUGCUAGGAACGACCUGCUGCUCUCUCUCCUCAUGUUGCUUCCCAGGAACAGCAAGAACAGAGGAAAACUCUUGUUUCUUCCUCUCCCAAAUCCCACCGCCUGUUGACGGUCCUUAAUGCUCAUAUUUAACCAUCAACUAAUCAUGGAAAAGGAUCCAAAUGCAACCAACACCUAGACUUAGGGUUUUAUCUGACAGAAUUCUACGAGUUUUGGUGUUUGUCUAUUUCUGCAGGGGGUUAUCAGGAAAUAUGGAAGAAAGGCCCACACGUCGGGAUUACAUAGAGAUAUUAACGUGCCGCGCAAUUUUCUAUCAUCUAGAAGACUCCAGAAGCCACGGUAACGAACGGGAGGCCGAGCAGGCCCGGAGGCAGGGCGCCCGCCCUACCCCCCUGGGCGCCUGCCCUCCUCUGCUGGCCAAUCAGCACGAGUCUCGGGGAUUAUGCCCCACCGACUCUAAGGAUCGAGGAAAAUCACACAAUGAAGGUCGGUUUGAUCAGAUGGUGGAGAAUAACGUGGAAAUUCCUUGGAAGCUACUCUUCCUAGAUUUCUUGGGGGCUACUCUUCCUAGAUUUCUUGGGGGCUACUCUUCCUGGACUAUAUAAGCAGACCCCCACCAGCCCCUGGAGGCAUACCUCUUCUACAGAAUCAAAGUUAGGGUUUCAAUUCUUCAUCCAAGUAGAGAGGAUCCCUCUAGUUCUUCUAGUUCUACCUCUAGUUCAUCUAGAUCUAGUUCUAGUUUAUCUAGUUCUAGUUCUAGUUCCUCUAGUUCUAGUUCUAGUUAGUUCUAGUUGUAAUCUAGAAAAUAGGGAGAGAGAAGAGGAGAGCGGAGGAGGAGGAGCCGGAUCUGUCGGAUCUUCCUCAACAUUGUACUUUUGCAGCAACUGGUUCGUUCUUCAUCGUUCUCCAGGUUCUUCAAUUCAUAAUCCUGAGUUCUUUAAUUAUUUUUAUUUACAUUCAAGUUAUUUAUUGGAUUCCCGCUUGCAUCAAGUGCUCUAAUCUUUGCAACAUUAGAGUAGUAAUUAAUAGAUUAGACGUGGUGUUUAGUCUUGUAAUUACCUGGAAUUGCACCCAAUCCUGCGGAUUGUUGUGGUAGCCUUAGGGUAGUGACAGCCCUAACGGUCGACGUAUUCCACCUCAUUCGGAUCGGUGUUUGUAGGACCGUAGUCAUAGCUUCCUAGCCCCCUUCUCAUCUCUUUCUGUGGUUAGUGUUCUGAUGUCCCAAAAUAGAUAAUCUUGAAGUAAUUCUUGAUUCUUAGAUCAACUAGAGAACUCUCAGGAAACUUCCUCUCUUCCCACCAAAAAAAAUAAUUAUAUAGUUAUCCUUGGGCGAUCUUGAUUCUUAAUUAGUACACUCACGUUCCCUGUGGAAAAUCGAUACUCUGGAAUACUCCCGGGUGAAGGCUACAUCGGUAUCCGUGCGCUUGCGGAUUUUUCUGUUUGCGUUUAAAAUACCCAACAAGCUUUCUGGCACCGUUGCCGGGGAACGGUAGCUGUGCUAGUUUCGAACCAAGUCGUCCGUGUAUCCUUUUUCUUUUCCCUUUUACCACACUCACCUUACCAUUUUCACCAUACCACAUGGAUUUCCCUCCUAUCUAUAAAUUCUUUGCUCCAAAGGGCGAGUUAUUAGAGCCACCCCCAUCAUCACAUCCAAUUCUUACAGAUGGCUACGACCUCGGCCCUGAUCUAAUAGCCAUGAUUCAGGAGCAACCCUUCUCUGGGCAAGUAGAUGAAGAUCCAUACACCCACCUUAGAGAAUUCGAGCAGUUGUUGCCGAUCUAUUUCUGGCAUGACACAAGAAACCCUUAAAUGGAAAUUAUUUCCGUUCUCCCUUUUGGGAAGAGCAAAAAAGUGGUAUGCUCAUUCUGUAGGAGGCGUAAAUGGAAAUUGGGAUGAACUUCGGGACAACUUUUGUCUCGCUUUCUUUCCACUUUUUCGAAUCACUGACCUUAGAAUCGAAAUUCUUACAUUCAAACAAAGAGAGAAGGAAACUUUAGGAGCAGCUUGGGCUAGGUUCACAAGCCUUACCAUUUCCGGUCCAAACCUUUCCCUGCCUGACCAUGUACUGUACUACCACUUUUAUCGUGGUCUAAGCAAGGAGGCUGCUCUUCACCUCGACAAUGCUUCAGGAGGCUCAUUCACACACAAGCUCACAGAUGAGGGGAGAGCUAUCCUAGAAAGAAUUCUUGAAAAUACCCCUUACACAGGCAUUUAUGAUGAGUUUCCUGAAGAAGAAAAAGAAGUCGAGCCUGAUCUUAAACCAAAAGAUGAGGAACUUGCAACCGAGUUAGAAAUUCCACCUGACCCAUCCAUUUAUUUGGUUGUAGAGAAACCUCCUGAUAAAGGAAUGCAAAACCAACUAAGGGAUGAUGAACCACCACCUUUAGAGCAUCCCUUUGAAUUCGAGGAAGAUCUUUUUGAAGAUUAUGGAAACACCUCGAAUUUUCCUAUCCAAACACGACCUCUAGUAAGGACCACUCAAUCUGUUCUAAGAGUAGAAUCUGUUGACAUAGAACACAUCAAAAGCCUUUCGGCUAUUCUGAGUUAUGAAUGGCUAACAGAAGCAGAGUUGUCUCCUGAGGUAGCUCGAAUCAUCACUCCUUCAACCAUUCUUCUAUGCCAAAUUAGAAGGUCCGCUAGGAAGGUCCACUACAAUCCAUAUGUUGGGAUAAAUAUUAUUUCCAAGGAGUUAGCUGACACUCUUUAUCCCAAUGAGUCCAUAACCCCAUCUCAAAAACUUUUACAAAGUCCAUCUAGAUUAAUUCUAGAGAGCCAUGGGGUAUUAAGGGCAGUUCCUAUUAGAAUCAAGGACUCUGGAAUAUGUCUAGAUUUUCACAUUUUUGACAUACCAGAGAUUCCUCUCUUGAUUGGUAGACCAAUCAUAAAACUUCUACAUGAACAACCACAACGAGGUCAUUUAGACUUCAAGGUUGGGAAUUCCACUAUUGUUGUUCCUCUAGCUAGAUCAAUUAACACGAUAGUGGAACCCAAACUUGACCCAGAUCCUAUUGAGGAGGUCUUAAUGGUGACUCAAGAGGAGAUGACCCAACCAUUCUUUAAUCAUGAACACUUUGUUCAAGAAGAAGAAGAGUUGGUAGAACCCGUUGAGCUAGACAAAAAUGAACAACCUUCAUCCCCUCCAAUAGAGUUAAAACCUCUUCCUUCUGGCCUUAGAUAUGUCUUCUUGCACAACAACUCAAAAACUCCAGUAAUUAUCAGUGACAAGCUUUCCGAUUAUGAAACACAACAACUUGUCACUGUUCUUGAAAGACAUAGAUCAGCUUUUGGCUACUCUCUCGAGGAUCUCACGGGCAUUAGUCCCAUUCUCUGCACUCAUCGUAUCCCUAUUGAUCCCAAUUCUACACCUUCAAGGGAACCACAACGGAGACUUAACAAUGCUAUGCGAGAGGUUGUUAAGAAAGAGGUCCUCAAACUCUAUCGUGCUGGGAUUAUUUAUCCUGUGCCACAUAGUGAGUGGGUUAGCCCUGUCCAAGUAGUGCCAAAGAAAGGAGGAAUGACGGUCGUUAGGAAUGAGAAGAAUGAACUUAUCCCUCAACGAAUUGUCACUGGGUGGUGAAUGUGUAUUGACUAUCGAAAACUCAAUAAGGCUACAAAGAAAGAUCAUUUUCCGUUACCCUUCAUUGAUGAAAUGUUGGAAUGGCUUGCAAACCACUCUUUCUUUUGCUUCCUUGAUGGUUAUUCUGGAUAUCACCAAAUCCCAAUCCACCCAGAUGACCAAGAAAAGACUACCUUUACAUGCCCAUAUGGAACUUAUGCAUACCGACGAAUGUCGUUCGGAUUGUGCAAUGCUCCAGCUUCUUUCCAACGGUGCAUGAUGUCUAUUUUCUCGGACAUGAUUGAGAAGAUCAUGGAGGUUUUCAUGGAUGAUUUUACCGUCUAUGGCAAAACAUUCGAUCAUUGUUUGGAGAAUUUAGAUAGAGUCUUGCAGCAAUGUGAAGAAAAGCACUUAAUCCUGAACUGGGAGAAAUGCCAUUUUAUGGUUCAGGAAGGAAUAGUGUUAGGACAUAAAGUGUCCGAACGUGGUAUAGAGGUGGACAAAGCAAAGAUUGAAGUUAUUGAAAAACUUCCACCUCCCAUGAAUGUGAAAGGAAUCCGUAGCUUUUUGGGACAUGCAGGGUUCUAUAGACGCUUUAUCAAGAAUUUCUCUCAAAUUGCUAGACCCCUAACUAAUCUCCUAGCUAAGGAUGCACCUUUCAUCUUUAGUGAUGAGUGUCAUGAAUCUUUUCAAACUCUUAAGAAAGCACUCAUCUCAACCCCGAUUAUCCAACCACCUGAUUGGAAUCUUCCUUUUGAGAUCAUGUGUGAUGCUAGCGAUUUUGCGGUUGGUGCCGUUUUAGGACAGACCAAGGAUAAAAAGCAUUAUGCCAUAUCCUACGCUAGCAAAACCUUGUCUGGACCGCAGCUCAAUUACACUACAACUGAAAAAGAGCUGUUGGCUGUUGUCUUUGCUAUAGACAAGUUUAGAUCUUACUUAGUGGGGGCAAAGAUAAUCAUCUAUUCAGACCAUGCUGCUCUCAAGUACCUCCUCACUAAGAAAGAUGCUAAGCCUCGUCUAAUUCGAUGGAUUCUUCUACUCCAAGACUUUGACAUAGAAAUCCGAGAUAGGAAGGGAGUUGAGAAUUCCGUAGCCGACCACUUAUCUAGGCUUCAAUAUAAGGAAACACAUGAUGAGCUUCCCAUAAAUGACUACCUAAGGGAUGACACCCUGCUUAAGAUAACACAUGCAGAUCCAUGGUACGCAGACAUCGUAAACUUUAUAGUAAAAGGCUAUGUCCCACCUGGUGCAAACAAAAGGAAGUUACUUCACGAUAGUCGUUUCCACCUUUGGGAUGAGCCAUAUCUUUUCCGAGUCUGCGCUGAUGGACUCUUGAGAAGGUGUGUUCCUAUGGCUGAGGCUACUCAAAUUAUGGAAAGAUGCCAUGCCUCGCCAUAUGGAGGACACUAUGGAGCAUUUCGGACACAUGCUAAAAUUUGGCAAAGUGGUUUUUUCUGGCCAAUGAUGUAUGAAGAUACAAAGGACUUUGUCAGGAGAUGCCACCGGUGUCAAAAACAUGGGAAUAUUAACUCACAAAAUGAAAUGCCUCUCACAAAUAAUCUUCAAGUAGAACUUUUUGAUGUUUGGGGCAUUGAUUUCAUGGGGCCAUUCCCUAUGUCCGGGAAUUGCGAGUAUAUCUUAGUAGCUGUGGACUACGUGACCAAAUGGGUAGAAGCCCUACCUUGUCGAUCAGCUGAUUCAAAACAUGCCAAGAGAAUGUUCCAUGAAGUAAUCUUUCCUCGCUUUGGUAUACCCCGGAUAGUUAUAAGUGAUGGAGGUUCUCACUUCAUCGACAAAAUCUUCCGAAAGUACUUAGCCGAUCAUGGAGUUCGACACAACGUCGCAACACCAUACCAUCCUCAGACUAGCGGUCAAGCCGAAACAUCUAACAAACAAAUCAAAAGUAUUUUACAAAAGACCGUAGAUGAGAUGGGUAAGGGGUGGAAGGACAAACUUCCUGAUGCACUUUGGGCAUAUAGAACUGCAUUCAAAACACCCAUAGGCAUGUCACCUUAUCAACUUGUAUAUGGAAAAACUUGUCAUUUGCCUGUGGAAGUAGAGUUUAAGGCUCAUUGGGCACUCAAGAAAUGGAACAUGGAUCUCCACCUCGCUAGUGAGAAUCGUCUGAUGCAACUAUCUGAGCUAGAAGAAUGGAGAGAGAAAGCCUACCACAAUUCAAGGAUCUAUAAAGAGAGAACAAAACGAUGGCAUGAUAAGAGAAUCAAGCACAAGGAGUUUAAGCCUGGAGAUAAGGUUCUACUAUUCAAUUCAAGAGUUAAGCUCUUUAGUCAUGGUAAGCUACGAAGUAAGUGGGAUGGACCAUACAAGGUUAUUGACACUUCAACUCAUGGAGCUAUUACCAUCCAAGAUGACAUAGGUAACACUUUUAAGGUAAAUGGUCAACGCUUGAAAAUCUAUCUCGAGCCACAAAACAACCUGGUAGAGGAACUUGAUGUGAUGGAGUUCAUAGAAUUCUCACAUUAAGCUCUCAUAAGCUCUAGACAAUUACCUAACCCUUAACAUGUUCCACAAGUUUUGUUGUCUAUUUGGGUUGUGCAGGAUUUUGAGGCUUAAGAAGAGUGAGACCAACCAUGCAGGCCACAAGAGUGAACGACUAUGUCAACAUCCAGCUUGGGGGAGGCACCCCCACGUGUAUCUAGAUAAGUAUUACUUUUCUUCCUUUGGUUUUAUUUUCUAGUAUUCGGAAAUAAAUAAACAAAUAAAAAUGCAUAACCAUGAAACCAAACAAAGUUUUUCUUUUGAGUAAUAUACAAUAGUUUUGUGUAAUCCUAAGUUUUAAAUAAAAAUAAAAAAAAAGUUUGAUUCAAGUCUAGGUAAUUGACAAACAUGAUAUGAGAAGGUCUGAGCUACUAUUUAACUUGUUCCAAGUUUUGCUAGAGUUCUGGAGAUUUUAUCUUUUGAAAAUCUAAAAAUUCAUAAAAAAUAUAUAUGAGAUCAUAAUACCUAGAGUCUUAUAAGAUAUAAAUAUUAAAACUGUGGGCACUUGCUUUGCUCAAGCCAUUGUUAAUUCUUGUAGUUUUGGUUGAGAGAAUUAUCAUGCUCCCAAGAUCAAGAUCUUUUUGUUUUAAAAAUAUAAAAGAUUCACUCUUCCGAAGUAUUAUUGCAUUAGAGGCAUGGGACUAUGCAAAAAUUUGAUUCGAAAAAAAAGAGUGAGACGAGAGGUAAAAAUGGACAAGUGUCCGAAGUAGAAUUAGGGGUACAAAGAUACCCACCUGAGUGGAAAAAAUGGACAUGUGUCCGACAGUAGAAUUAGGGGUACUUGAUGCCCACUUAAAAAAAAAGAGACUGAAAAAAAAGAAAAAAAAAAUGAAUGAAUGAAAAAAAAAUGAUAGCCCAUGGUCCCUCUAAUAAGCAAUAUGCCAGUAAGAGAUGACAAACUUCUCAAAAAGGUCAAAGGUCUUGAUCUAGGAGUAUGACAUUCCUCUCCCUUACUUCGAGCGUUGACAUAGCAAAAUGCAAAGUAAGUAUGCUAAAACUUUUAAAGCUCUACUUAUAUAUCUUUCGAGAAGAAGGCAAAUGCCUCAGUUUUAUUUUGCAGACUUAUAAAAAACUCUAGAACAAAGGUAAGACAGAAGAACUUGAGACAUAGUGCUUGACUUGAUCAUUCUGUUUUUCAAUCACUUAAGACCUUAGUGAUAACUUAAAAACACUGUAGUAAGAGGCAUAGAAGUAACCCCUAUUUUCUUGUUGAUUUUAGCUUUGCUCAGGGACGAGCAAAGGUUAAGCUUGGGGGAGCUUGUUGACGGUCCUUAAUGCUCAUAUUUAACCAUCAACUAAUCAUGGAAAAGGAUCCAAAUGCAGCCAACACCUAGACUUAGGGUUUUAUCUGACAGAAUUCCACGAGUUUUAGUGUUUGUCUAUUUCUGCAGGGGGUUAUCAGGAAAUAUGGAAGAAAGGCCCACACGUCGGGAUUACAUAGAGAUAUUAACGUGCCGCGCAAUUUUCUAUCAUCUAGAAGACUCCAGAAGCCACGGUAACGAACGGGAGGCCGAGCAGGCCCGGAGGCAGGGCGCCCGCCCUACCCCCCUGGGCGCCCGCCCUCCUCUGCUGGCCAAUCAGCAUGAGUCUCGGGGAUUAUGCCCCACCGACUCUAAGGAUCGAGGAAAAUCACACAAUGAAGGUCGGUUUGAUCAGAUGGUGGAGAAUAACGUGGAAAUUCCUUGAAAGCUACUCUUCCUAGAUUUCUUGGGGGCUACUCUUCCUAGAUUUCUUGGGGGCUACUCUUCCUGGACUAUAUAAGCAGACCCCCACCAGCCCCUGGAGGCAUACCUCUUCUACAGAAUCAAAGUUAGGGUUUCAAUUCUUCAUCCAAGUAGAGAGGAUCCCUCUAGUUCUUCUAGUUCUACCUCUAGUUCAUCUAGAUCUAGUUCUAGUUUAUCUAGUUCUAGUUCUAGUUCCUCUAGUUCUAGUUCUAGUUAGUUCUAGUUGUAAUCUAGAAAAUAGGGAGAGAGAAGAGGAGAGCGGAGGAGGAGGAGCCGGAUCUAUCGGAUCUUCCUCAACAUUGUACUUUUGCAGCAACUGGUUCGUUCUUCAUCGUUCUCUAGGUUCUUCAAUUCAUAAUCCUGAGUUCUUUAAUUAUUUUUAUUUACAUUCAAGUUAUUUAUUGGAUUCCCGCUUGCAUCAAGUGCUCUAAUCUUUGCAACAUUAGAGUAGUAAUUAAUAGAUUAGACGUGGUGUUUAGUCUUGUAAUUACCUGGAAUUGCACCCAAUCCUGCGGAUUGUUGUGGUAGCCUUAGGGUAGUGACAGCCCUAACGGUCGACGUAUUCCACCUCGUUCGGAUCGGUGUUUGUAGGACCGUAGUCAGAGCUUCCUAGCCCCCUUCUCAUCUUUUUCUGUGGUUAGUGUUCUGAUGUCCCAAAAUAGAUAAUCUUGAAGUAAUUCUUGAUUCUUAGAUCAACUAGAGAACUCUCAGGAAACUUCCUCUCUUCCCACCAAAAAAAUAAUUAUAUAGUUAUCCUUGGGCAAUCUUGAUUCUUAAUUAGUACACUCACGUUCCCUAUGGAAAAUUGAUACUCUGGAAUACUCCCGGGUGAAGGCUACAUCGGUAUCCGUGCGCUUGCGGAUUUUUCUGUUUGCGUUUAAAAUACCCAACACCGCCAAAUUCUGGAAUUAGACUAUGCAUAUCACACCACCGCGACCUCCAUCUCAAGAGCUUUCAAUUCGGCACUCGCUGGCGUGAAGUAUCAGAGGAGAUCGAAGAAGGUCGCCCUCCAUGCCUGCCGUAGCUGUCUUCGCAACCCCAGCCAUGCACGAGCCAAGCAGCGCACACGCACCCCACGAUGUCGCCGAGCUCCUACAGCGACGCUGGGGCCACGCCACGGUGGCGUGCUCGGGUGCGCCGGUGCCCGCGAAGCACUCUAGACGGAGACAAGGAGCGCGGCAGCGUACGCGAGGGACUACCAUGUCAUGCUGUUGCCCACGACGACGGCGGCCAGGCACGCC
rnacentral:lncRNA from 1 species